rnacentral:rRNA from 1 species
AAAAUUUAUUUUAUUAUUUUUAUAAUAAAAUAAAAAAAAUAUUAAUUAAAUUACUUUGAAAAAUUAAGAGUGUUUAAAGCAGUCAUAUUUUUUAAUUAAAAAAUAAAAUUGUCAUAAAUAUUAUUAGCAUGGGAUAAUAGAAUAGGAUCUUCACAAUAUAUUUUAUUGGUUUAAAUUGCGUAUGAAGAUAAUGAUUAAUAGGGACAGUUGGGGUUAUUCAUAUUGGGUGGUUAGCGGUGAAAUGCUCGGAUCCAUUCAAGAUGAACUAAAGCGAAAGCAUUUACCAAGGAUGUUUUCAUUAAUCAAGAACGAAAGUUAAGGGAUCGAAGACGAUUAGAUACCGUCGUAGUCUUAACUAUAAACUAUGCCGACCAGGGAUAUGAGUUGUUAGGAAUAUAUGAAAGUAUAUUCAAUUUCUUCUUAUGAACCUUGUGAGAAAUCAUAAGUUUUUGGGUUCUGGGGGGAGUAGUGGUCGCAAGGCUGAAACUUAAAGGAA